rnacentral:tRNA from 1 species
GCUCGCAUAGCUCAGUCGGAUAGAGCGACGGUUUCCUAAACCGUAGGUCGCAGGUUCGAUUCCUGCUGUGGGCA